rnacentral:misc_RNA from 1 species
GACGUGGGACGGCUGCUAUUAGUACUUCGAUGGUGGUGGUGGUUACUGGGGGCAGAGAGUGCGGUGGUCUGGCCCCAUUUGAGGGAGAGCGGGAAGUUAUGCAGCGGCUGUGGCUUCACUGGUGCUGCUGCCAUGAAAGCCAGCACUUACAUAUACAAAGAUAUCUAUAUAUGGAAGUGCGUGCCUGUGCCUUUGCUUUUACGUGGAACUUAAAGAUGGUAACGAGAGCCCAAAUAAAAAAAAAAACCCUAGAGACAGAGAGAGAGAGAGAGAGAGCAAGGAAAUGAGAGAAGCAGGCCAGACGGUGGUGUUGUGUUGUUAAGCAGAGGACGACGAGAGAGAAAGAGGGUGGGGGG